UGAGGAAUAUUGCACAAUGGGCGCAAGCCUGAUGCAGCAACGCCGCGUGCGGGACGAAGGCCUUCGGGUCGUAAACCGCUUUUCUGGGGAAAGAGCAAGGACGGUACCUCAGGAAUAAGUCUCGGCUAACUCCGUGCCAGCAGCCGCGGUAAAACGUAGGAGGCGAGCGUUAUCCGGAUUUACUGGGCGUAAAGCGCACGCAGGCGGCUCUGUGAGUCGGACGUGAAAGCUCCCGGCUUAACCGGGAGAGGCCGUUCGAUACUGCGGCGCUUGAGGUAGGGAGAGGAAUGCGGAAUUCCCGGUGUAGUGGUGGAAUGCGUAGAUAUCGGGAGGAACACCCGUGGCGAAAGCGGCAUUCUGGCACUCACCUGACGCUGAGGUGCGAAAGCGUGGGUAGCAAACAG
rnacentral:rRNA from 1 species